GGAAAGGAUCACCUACCUCUAUAACAUGCUUCUGAGUCGUCGGACCAACAUACCCGCUGCAGUGCAGCGAGCAGUGAGGCGACGGGCAGCUGACCAGGGUCACAUGAGUAUCCUCCAGGUGCUAGCCACGGUACCCUUCCCUAAGUCCAUUGCUCGGCCGGUUUUUGUUGCAUCAGACUUAUUGCCUGGGUUGUGGGCAGCCAGAAGAAAAGGGGGGCAUGGAGAACUUUGUGUCCUGCAGUACCCCAGGCUGCAGAGGUCUCUACUGCCCUACCUGUUUUCGUCUCCUGGACAACACCUGUUCUGUAUGUGCGUCUCCCCUCUCCAACCAGGGGCGCCUAGACCUGGAGCUAGACUCCAGUGAUGAGGAGGGUCCUCAGCUAUGGCUGGCUGCAGCUCGAAGAAGGGCCCCUGAGCAGGAGCUGGAACUUCGACAGCAGCUUCAGGAAGCACUAGGCACAAACCUUUCAGAGGAGCCUGGCUCCCAGCCUGAGAGCAGGAAGCAGUGACCAGGACAAAGACAUAAACUCAAAGGAAGCAUCCACAGCAUCUCCCGGAAGAUCAUCAGGUUUUUUGAGGUCCCCCCUAUCCCCCAGAAACCACUUCAGAAAUCCAUUAUCCCCAAAGAAGCCCCUCUCCAGCCCCAGAACCUCCGGAUCCCUCCCACUUACCCCCAAAUAAAGGAAGCAAAAGUGGACACACAUGAA
rnacentral:lncRNA from 1 species